AUUGAACGCUGGCGGCAGGCCUAACACAUGCAAGUCGAACGGUAACAGGAAGCAGCUUGCUGCUUUGCUGACGAGUGGCGGCCGGGUGAGUAAUGUCUGGGAAACUGCCCGAUGGAGGGGGAUAACUACUGGAGACGGUAGCUAAUACCGCAUAACGUCGCAAGACCAAAGAGGGGGACCUUAGGGCCUCUUGCCAUCGGAUGUGCCCAGAUGGGAUUAGCUAGUAGGUGGGGUAACGGCUCACCUAGGCGACGAUCCCUAGCUGGUCUGAGAGGAUGACCAGCCACACUGGAACUGAGACACGGUCCAGACUCCUACGGGAGGCAGCAGUGGGGAAUAUUGCACAAUGGGCGCAAGCCUGAUGCAGCCAUGCCGCGUGUAUGAAGAAGGCCUUCGGGUUGUAAAGUACUUUCAGCGGGGAGGAAGGGAGUAAAGUUAAUACCUUUGCUCAUUGACGUUACCCGCAGAAGAAGCACCGGCUAACUCCGUG
rnacentral:rRNA from 1 species